rnacentral:rRNA from 1 species
CCUACGGGUGGCAGCAGUGAGGAAUAGUGGUCAAUGGGCGAGAGCCUGAACCAGCCAAGUCGCGUGAAGGAUGAAGGAGCUAUGGUGGGUAAACUUCUGUUAUAGGGGAAUAAAGUGAGGAACGUGAGCCUGUUUGUAUGUACCAUAUGAAUAAGCAUCGGCUAACUCCGUGCCAGCAGCCGCGGUAAUACGGAGGAUGCGAGCGUUAUCCGGAUUUAUUGGGUUUAAAGGGUGCGUAGGUGGUUAAUUAAGUCGGCGGGGAAAGUUUGUGGCUCAACCAUAAAAUUGCCGUUGAAACUGUUUGACUUGAGUCUAUUUGCGCUAGGCGGAUUGC